AGAGUUUGAUCCUGGCUCAGGACAAACGCUGGCGGCGUGCCUAACACAUGCAAGUCGAACGGACACUUGUUUUCGGACGGGUGUGAGUGGCGGACGGGUGAGUAACACGUGGAUGACGUAUCCUCGUGUGGGGGAUAACCUUCAGAAAUGAGGGAUAAUACCGCAUACGAUCACUGGAGUAGGCUCUGGUGAAGAAAGCUGCCUGGCAACGGGUGGCGCAGGAGGAGCGGUCUGCGACCGAUUAGCUAGUUGGUGGGGUAAGAGCCUACCAAGGCGACGAUCGGUAGCUGGUCUGAGAGGAUGAUCAGCCACACUGGGAUUGAGAACGGCCCAGACUCCUACGGGGGGCAGCAGUGAGGAAUUUUCCGCAAUGGACGCAAGUCUGACGGAGCAACGCCGCGUGCAGGAAGACGGCCUUCGGGUUGUAAACUGCUUUUCUCAGGGACGAGGAAACAAGGACGGUACCUGAGGAAGAAGCCCCGGCUAACUACGUGCCAGCAGCCGCGGUAAUACGUAGGGGGCGAGCGUUGUCCGGAGUUACUGGGCGUAAAGGGCACGCAGGCGGUCCGGUAAGGCUGCGGGGACAGUGAGCGGCUUAACUGCUCAAGGGUCGCAGCGACUGCCGGGCUUGAGGGCCAGAGAGGGACCUGGAAUUCCGGGUGGAGCGGUGAAAUGCGUAGAGAUCCGGAGGAACACCAAUGGCGCAGGCAAGGUCCUGGCUGGUUCCUGACGCUCGGGUGCGAAAGCCAGGGGAGCGAACGGGAUUAGAUACCCUGGUAGUCCGAGCUGUAAACGAUGUCCACCAGGUGUUGGGGGUAUCGACCCCUCCAGCGCCGCAGCCAACGUGAUGAGUGGACCGCCUGGGGAGUACGGCCGCAAGGUUAAAACUUAAAGGAAUUGACGG
rnacentral:rRNA from 1 species